GUAAUACCCGUCAUAUCUGUGCUGCCCCGUGUGAUUGUGGUUCUUGGUGGGCUGAAUUGGUACAAGGGGAGCGGGGCAGCCCAUGGAGGUUCUCUGUGUUGUGUGGGCACUCUGAACAGUGUUCAGUCCAUUAAUAAAGUGCUCAUUUGGGGUUUGGCUGCCCUCAUCUUGCUGUGCUUCUAUUAGCACCAAACUUGUCUCUUCUGAGGGUAGAGCGUGGAAUGGGAACGAUGUCUGCCAAACUUACAGCUUUUAAGCUUAAAAGAUUUAAACGAAGAUUGGAAAGGAUCUCAAUGCACUGAGUACAAGAGGGGGAAACAAAGAUGGAGGGAGAAUACAGGAGUCACUGCAUCUGCUAACAUAUGGCAGCAGCCCCGUUGCUGUGCUCAUGGGCAGGAUUGUGCUGCUGUCUGAGGUGCUGAAGCCAGAGGGCCGCCAGGGGGUCCUGGAGAUCCCCAUAUACCCAGCGGUGUGCCCGGUGCCCCCGUUACACAAGUCAAAACUACACCCACAUGCACCAGAAAUGCAGCAACAAAGCACAGAUCUUGAAUUCACAAAGCACAAGCUAUGGAUUCACUGUUCCAUUGCAGAUAUUACAGUUCUGCUCAGCUACCACAAGAGGGACGUAGAAGGAAAGCUAAGAUAGCCCGGGAGAAAAAAACAAAUCGAAAGAGCAGCUUCAUGCAGGUUCAGCUGCACUGUGGCUAUAAAAAAGUAUUCCUGAAGCAAACUGGAUAAGUACUUUAAAGCAAUGGAGGAAAAGGAGGAGAAGAUCUUGACAUUUCUUCAGUGAUCUCGGAUGAAGAAGAUACUUAGAUAUUAAGGUGAUGAAUGACAUACAAAGAUAGUAGCAGUAUAUGAAACUAGCUAUAAACUCUGUGCUACAAACCAGUUUUCCUUCCCUGUCUAAGCUAAGUGGAUAGUAAAAAGCUAAUAAAGUAUGAAAAU
rnacentral:lncRNA from 7 species